GACGAACGCUGGCGGCGUGCUUAACACAUGCAAGUCGAACGGACAGGCCCUGCUUUUGCGGGUUUGUCGUUUGGGGAACGGGUGAGUAACACGUGAGUAUCCUGCCCUUGACUUUGGGAUAUCUUUAGGAAACUGGGGCUAAUACCGGAUAGAAGCUCUUGCUGCAUGGUGGGGGUUGGAAAGUUUCGGCGUUGGGGGAUGGUCUCGCGGCUUAUCAGCUUGUUGGUGGGGUAGUGGCUUACCAAGGCUUUGACGGAUAGCCGGCCUGAGAGGGUGGCCGGCCACAUUGGGCCUGAGAUAGGGCCCAGACGCCUACGGGAGGCAGCAGUGGAGAAUAUUGCGCAAUGGGCGGAAGCCUGAGGCAGCAACGCCGCGUGCGGGAUGACGGCCUUCGAGUUGUAAACCGCUUUCGCCUGUGACGAAGCGUGAGUGACGGUAAUGGGUAAGGAAGCACCGGCUAACUACGUG
rnacentral:rRNA from 1 species